rnacentral:rRNA from 1 species
CGAAGGGGCUAGCGUUGCUCGGAAUUACUGGGCGUAAAGGGCGCGUAGGCGGCGAUCUCAGUCAGGCGUGAAAGCCCCGGGCUCAACCUGGGAACUGCGCUUGAGACGGGAUUGCUUGAGGGCGAGAGAGGGUGGUGGAAUUCCCAGUGUAGAGGUGAAAUUCGUAGAUAUUGGGAAGAACACCGGUGGCGAAGGCGGCCACCUGGCUCGCACCUGACGCUGAGGCGCGAAAAGCGUGGGGAGCAAACAGGAUU